UGAUGAUGGUGAGGGUAAUUUCUGAGAAUAGCCUUGAAUCUUUCCCAAGCUUGGUAAAUAAUCUCUCCAUCAUUCUGCUUGAAAAUCAAAACCUCACUUCUCAAAUA
rfam:Capsicum annuum cultivar Zunla-1 chromosome 1, whole genome shotgun sequence